GGUAAUUUAGUAUUAAAAGUAGUAAAUUUUUGUACAAUAAAAGUGAACGUUGAGGUCCGUGUUGUAAUUUUAGUUUUUUUGUAAAUCUACAUGUAAGUUUAGGCUAGUAAAAAAAGUUGUAAAAUAAAUUAGGAGAUUCUCAGUAGAAAAUUUUGGAAAUAUAUAAAAAUUUUAUCC
rnacentral:rRNA from 1 species